CCCUUAGAUGUUCUGGGCCGUACGCGCGCUACACUGACGAAUGCAACGAGCUUAUAACCUUGGCCGAAAGGUCUGGGUAAUCUCCAAAUUUCGUCGUGAUGGGGAUAGAUUAUUGCAAUUAUUAAUCUUCAACGAGGAAUGCCUAGUAAGCGCAAGUCAUCAGCUUGCGUUGAUUACGUCCCUGCCCUUUGUACACACCGCCCGUCGCUCCUACCGAUUGAAUGGUCCGGUGAAGCGCUCGGACCGCGGCCUCUUGACGGUUCGCUGUCGAUUGGCUGUGGGAAGUUCGUUAAACCUUAUCAUUUAGAGGAAGGAGAAGUCGUAACA
rnacentral:rRNA from 1 species